GGCUGACCUCGGAAGGGUUGCUUUGCAGUGCAGCAGAGUGAGGCCCCCUGACUUCAUCGCGGGAGACUUUGGUGGGGGCGCCUCAGGAUCCCCAUAGCAUGGGGGAGGUUCCCUGAACAGGUGGCGUCCUGACCUCCCGCGGGAGCGUCCCGCGCUCUCCCCAUCUCUUGGUCCUUGGUCGGCUCCUUUACUUCUUUAUCUCCCUCCCAGCGAUGCCCGACUCCCAGCAGGAGUAUAGGUCUUUUGGUUAUAGCCAUGAAAAGCUGACCAAACAGAUGCCCUUUUCAUGUAAAUUUCAGUGCUCAAGUCAAAGCCAGACAAGAACACGGAAUCCAAAGCAGUCAUGACCUCUUUUUCUGCCACUUGCCUGAGAACUUAACCUUUCACCUGGAGAUGCCAACAGAUACCAGGCCAAGGUGCCCAGGACAAAGACUUUGGAGGACAGGUGCAAAUGGAAUUCCUUUUGUCUCCUGCAGUCUAGCCACGAAGUUGGGAGGAUGGACACUUGGUGUAUUUAACAAGCAUCCAAACAACUAGGGAACAUCCAAGUCAGAGUCAGAGCUGAAGGGAAUCUUAGCUCACCUCCUUUUUUGAUAGAUGGGUAAACAGAGGCCAGUGACCUUGGUGGCUUUCUUGAGAUCACCCAACUGACACUCGAUGCUGAUGAACCUGGUUUUCUGGCUCCCAAGCCACUGUUUGCUCCCUGAUACCAUGGCACCUUUGUAUACAUUCCUGACACUGCCCCAGUGCUUCAGCCAGCCUCUCAUGGCGCAUCACAGCUUCCACCGCCUGUGCUGACCUGCCUGAGCAGCUUCCAGGACUGUCCCACAAGGGCAAACGAUUAAUGCACUUGUAAACUGACUGAUCUGCAAACAUGACCAUGGGCCUGUGGAAUGAGUGAGUGGCUUCUACAUUUGGUCACCCAGGAGCCCUUCCUUAUGCUGGGCAGAUGAAAUUAAAAACAAACAAACAAAC